CUCAGGUUCUUUCUGGGGGACAUAUCUGUUCCCCGCCUCCACCUGGUGUGGCCAGACGUGACCUCGUGAACAGGAAGGACAAUUCAAGAACAGGACUCCAUCCGUUUCUACGUCCGGUUGCUGGAGGGAACAGCAGAAAACAAUUCUCGAAUAUGUCAAUGAGCUAGUGAGUGGUCUUCGUUCCAAGUUGAAGAUGAAGAAAUGGAUGUCACCACUGAAUGAGGCACCUAUUAGCUUAAAAGACUUCCUCAACUUGAUAUUUAAGGAUGUUCUCAGCAGAUUAACUGGCCAGAACGGACCAGCACGAUUCCCAGAGAACUAACAUUUUUCCUGGGCAUCUGCCAAUUCUGGGGACAUUCUCUGACAUUUCCCCA